UGAAAAGGUAAGGAACGAACUUACAUCUAGGGAAUCAAAGUCCCUUAUUUUUCAUUAAAAUACUUCUCAC
rnacentral:tRNA from 1 species